GUGGAGAGGAUAAGGAGGGCCUCGCUUGGCUUCCUGCUGCUCCCCUGAUUAGAAGCCCUUCUAAGGGGAUCAAGGCUGUGACUGGCUAUGAGAAAACUAAUGCUCCAUUUCCCACGCAGUCCCUGGGCUGCUGAACUCCUCCCCACCACUUGAGGAGGAGCUAUGCUGGGAAGAGAUGAGCUGAUGCCCAGCUCAGUUGCUCUUCUGAGUCUUCAAUUUCCAGACCAACCUCCCUUAAGGUGACUGACAGUGGGAACCUCAACCUCACCUACAGGGAUGUGGACUGAUCCCAUGGUCUCAGUGAGAGACCCAGGCAAUAUUUCUACAUGAAGCAUGUUGGAUUUCUGAAUUAUCCAGCCUCAAAUGACACUGGGAUGGGACAGUGUUAACCCAGAUAAGAAAACUGAGGCUCUGAGAAGUUGAGGGACUUGGUCAAGGCCACAUGUCAGUGAGUGCCAGAAGUUUCUGCUACUCCUACAAAAUCAGAAGUUCCCCAAAUCCAAACCAUCUCGACCUACCCCUGUGACCCCUCAAAAGAAGCUGGUCUUCCCCAUCCUCCUGUCUCCGCAGUGCCAUUUGCCUUUCAGUCUCCUAAAAAGAAGCACUUACUCUCCUCCCCAAAUUGCAGAGGGAAGCUUCAAAUACACUUCUAAUCAUUAUCAGUACCCAGCAGUAUACAGGAAGUUAUUGUCCCAAAGUUGUGUGUCAUGCCUGAAGUGUCUGGGAUCCCUGAGUACCUGUGGUGCCCAAGAGCUAUGAAUCUGCUAUCAUCAACACAGAGGGUACCUUCUGAAUGGGCUAUCUCUGCAGUGAUGCUGCAAAUGGAAGCUAACCCUAGGAUGACUGGCUUCUGACACUUGAGCCAUCCCGUCAUCUGUCAUGGGUUGACCCAUCCAUCCCCUCAAUGAGCUGACCUUGAGGACCACUGACAGAGGAGCAGUCAAUAGAAAUUAAUUGUUAAAUACCCAGAAAAUCUCAAAUGGUAUUUAAUAUGCAGUUCAUCAAAAGCAAAACUUCCUUAAAUUUUCAUCUAGAAAAGUUAUUUAUAAGGGAUGAAUGUAUAAAUAUGUUGUAUGCAAAUAUUAUAUUCAAGGGCA
rnacentral:antisense_RNA from 1 species